rnacentral:rRNA from 1 species
CCCUUAGAUGUCCUGGGCUGCACGCGCGCUACACUGAUGUGUCCAGUAAGCACCUAACCUAUUCCGAGAGGAGCGGGUAACCUUAGCAAAGCACAUCGUGAUGGGGAUAGAUUAUUGCAAUUAUUAGUCUUGAACGAGGAAUUCCUAGUAAGCACAAGUCAUCAGCUUGUGUUGAUUACGUCCCUGCCCUUUGUACGCACCGCCCGUCGCUCCUACCGAUUGGAUGAUCCGGUGAGCUAUUCGGACUUUCGCAUUGUCGAUUUUCGGCUUUACGAGGGAAAGUCUCGCGAACCUUAUCAUCUAGAGGAAGGAGAAGUCGUAACA